GCGGCGCGCAUUACCCAUUCCCGACACGGGGAGGUAGUGACGAAAAAUAACAAUACAGGACUCUAACGAGGCCCUGUAAUUGGAAUGAGUACAUUCUAAAACUCUUAACGAGUAUCCAUUGGAGGGCAAGUCUGGUGCCAGCAGCCGCGGUAAUUCCAGCUCCAACAGUAUAUGCUAAAGUUGUUGCGGUUGAAAAGCUCGUAGUUGGACUUUGGGCGGGUGCAGCUGGUCCGUCGCAGGGCGUGUUACUGGCUGUGCUCGCCUCGACUUCGGUUCUCCGUCGGUGCUCUUGACUGAGUGUCGGCGGUGGCCGAGAAGUUUACUUUGAAAAAAUUAGAGUGUUCAAAGCAGGUUCGAAUCCUGAAUAGUGUUGCAUGGAAUAAUGGAAUAGGACCUCGGUUCUAUUUUGUUGGUUUACGGAGCGCGAGGUAAUGAUUAAGAGGGACAGACGGGGGCGUCCGUACUCUGCCGUUAGAGGUGAAAUUCUUGGAUCGGCGGAAGACGAACUACUGCGAAAGCAUUCGCCAAGAAUGUUUUCUUUAAUCAAGAGCGAAAGUCAGAGGUUCGAAGACGAUCAGAUACCGUCCUAGUUCUGACUAUAAACGAUGCCAACUAGCGAUCGGGAGGCGUUACCAUGACGACCUUCCCGGCAGCUUCCGGGAAACCAAAGUCUUUGGGUUCCGGGGGA
rnacentral:rRNA from 1 species